rnacentral:rRNA from 1 species
UACGUAGGCAGCGAGCGUUGUUCGGAAUUACUGGGCGUAAAGAGUGUGUAGGCGGUGCUCCCAGUCUGUUGUGAAAUCUCCCGGCUUAACUGGGAGGGUGCAGCGGAAACUAGAGUGCUAGAGGGUGGGAGAGGUAAGCGGAAUUCCUGGUGUGGCGGUGAAAUGCGUAGAUAUCAGGAGGAACACCUGUGGUGUAGACAGCUUACUGGACCACUUCUGACGCUGAGACACGAAAGCGUGGGUAGCAAACAGG